UGGGCAUAAUGAAGAUCCAAAAUUUAUUAUGAUUAUUCAUGAAGAAUACCAACCUCCUACUCAUUCUGA